rnacentral:rRNA from 1 species
GUAGGUGGCAAGCGUUGUCCGGAAUUAUUGGGCGUAAAGCGCGCGCAGGCGGUUCUUUAAGUCUGAUGUGAAAGCCCACGGCUCAACCGUGGAGGGUCAUUGGAAACUGGAGAACUUGAGUACAGAAGAGGAAAGCGGAAUUCCACGUGUAGCGGUGAAAUGCGUAGAGAUGUGGAGGAACACCAGUGGCGAAGGCGGCUUUCUGGGCUGUAACUGACGCUGAGGCGCGAAAGCGUGGGGAGCAAACAGGGAUUAGAUACCCUGGUAGUCCACGCCGUAAACGAUGAGUGCUAAGUGUUAGGGGGUUUCCGCCCCCUUAGUGCUGCAGCUAACGCAUUAAGCACUCCGCCUGGGGAUACGGCCGCAAGGCUG